GAUGAACGCUGGCGGCGUGCCUAAUACAUGCAAGUCGAGCGAACGGACGAGAAGCUUGCUUCUCUGAUGUUAGCGGCGGACGGGUGAGUAACACGUGGAUAACCUACCUAUAAGACUGGGAUAACUUCGGGAAACCGGAACUAAUACCGGAUGAUAUUUUGAACCGCAUGGUUCAAAAGUGAAAGACGGUCUUGCUGUCACUUAUAGAUGGAUCCGCGCUGCAUUAGCUAGUUGGUAAGGUAACGGCUUACCAAGGCAACGAUGCAUAGCCGACCUGAGAGGGUGAUCGGCCACACUGGAACGGGGACACGGUCCAGACUCCUACGGGAGGCAGCAGUAGGGAAUCUUCCGCAUUGGGCGAAAGCCUGACGGAGCAAGGCGGCGUGAGUGAGGAAGGUCUUGGGAUCGUAAAACUCUGUUAUUAGGGAAGAACAUAUGUGUAAGUAACUGUGCACAUCUUGACGGUACCUAAUCAGAAAGCGACGGCUAACUACGUG
rnacentral:rRNA from 1 species